rnacentral:rRNA from 1 species
AUUGAACGCUGGCGGCAUGCCUUACACAUGCAAGUCGAACGGCAGCACGGGAGCUUGCUCCUGGUGGCGAGUGGCGAACGGGUGAGUAAUACAUCGGAACGUACCCUGAAGUGGGGGAUAACGUAGCGAAAGUUACGCUAAUACCGCAUAUUCUGUGAGCAGGAAAGAGGGGGAUCGCAAGACCUCUUGCUUUAGGAGCGGCCGAUGUCGGAUUAGCUAGUUGGUGAGGUAAAGGCUCACCAAGGCGACGAUCCGUAGCGGGUCUGAGAGGAUGAUCCGCCACACUGGGACUGAGACACGGCCCAGACUCCUACGGGAGGCAGCAGUGGGAAAUUUUGGACAAUGGGCGCAAGCCUGAUCCAGCCAUGCCGCGUGAGUGAAGAAGGCC